AUCAACCAUCAAAAAUGCCUUAAUAAAAAUCGAAUUCCUGCAACUUAAUAUUCAAGAAGAUCUAAUAUGUAUUCCAAUUUGUCUAAAUCAUCUUGAUUAUCACGUUUACAAAGCAAUUUAAAUAAAACGUUAACUGAGAUUGUAUCUUUUUGAAAAUGCAAAAUAAGAAAAACGUUAAAAAUGUUAAAAUUGCAAAUAACGCGAAUACAAGACCAAAGUCUAAGGCUUCGGAAAAUGUUUCGUCCGUCCCGACUUCUAUAGCUCUUGAGAGUAUCGAAAAGAUUCUGAAAUGGGCCUCGUCAAGAAAAGAUAUCGAAACGUCCGAUUUAGAGGUUUUAGUGGCUUUGAAACAGAAAGCAGUACAAAUUCAAUGGCGGGAAGUUAAGAAAUAGAUUAUUUUUAUUAAUCAAUAAAUAUUUUUAUUAAGUAAUUACUAA